UGUAUUUCUCUAAUUUAUAAUAUUUAAAUUUUCUAAAAUGUAAAAAGACAUUUAUACAAAAGAAAGACGAUAAGACCCUAUUGAACUUAACUGUAGUUAAACUGGGGCAGUAAAUCAAUUAUUAUUUUAAUGAAAAUUAAUAUCCAAAUAUCUAAUAAAAUUAAAUAAUUCAGUUACCAUAGGGAUAACAGCAUAAUAACUUUUUAAAGAUCUUAUUAAAAAAGUAGAUUAUGACCUCGAUGUUGAAUUAAUAACCUAAUUAAAGCAAAAAUUAAAACAGGAAGUCUGUUCGACUUUUAAAAAAUUACAUGAUUUGAGUUCAGACCGGCGCAAGCCAGGUCGGUUUCUAUCUUCUAAAUAAUUUUUUACAGUACGAAAGGACCUAAAAAUAUAAUU
rnacentral:rRNA from 1 species